UUAAGAAUAAGCUAAAUUAAGCUUUUGAGUUCAUACCUCAAAUAUAAAGAUUAACCCUUUUUCUUAAU
rnacentral:tRNA from 1 species